rnacentral:rRNA from 1 species
UAGGGAAUCUUCCACAAUGGACGCAAGUCUGAUGGAGCAACGCCGCGUGAGUGAAGAAGGUCUUCGGAUCGUAAAGCUCUGUUGUUGGUGAAGAAGGAUAGAGGCAGUAACUGGUCUUUAUUUGACGGUAAUCAACCAGAAAGUCACGGCUAACUACGUGCCAGCAGCCGCGGUAAUACGUAGGUGGCAAGCGUUGUCCGGAUUUAUUGGGCGUAAAGCGAGCGCAGGCGGAAUGAUAAGUCUGAUGUGAAAGCCCACGGCUCAACCGUGGAACUGCAUCGGAAACUGUCAUUCUUGAGUGCAGAAGAGGAGAGUGGAACUCCAUGUGUAGCGGUGGAAUGCGUAGAUAUAUGGAAGAACACCAGUGGCGAAGGCGGCUCUCUGGUCUGCAACUGACGCUGAGGCUCGAAAGCAUGGGUAGCGAACAGGAUUAGAUACCCUGGUAGUCCAUGCCGUAAACGAUGAGCGCUAGGUGUUGGGGACUUUCCGGUUCUCAGUGCCGCAGCAAACGCAUUAAGCGCUCCGCCUGGGGAGUACGACCGCAAGGUUGAGACUCUAAAUG